rnacentral:rRNA from 1 species
UCCGCGCUGCAUUAGCUAGUUGGUAAGGUAACGGCUUACCAAGGCAACGAUGCAUAGCCGACCUGAGAGGGUGAUCGGCCACACUGGAACUGAGACACGGUCCAGACUCCUACGGGAGGCAGCAGUAGGGAAUCUUCCGCAAUGGGCGAAAGCCUGACGGAGCAACGCCGCGUGAGUGAUGAAGGUCUUCGGAUCGUAAAACUCUGUUAUUAGGGAAGAACAUAUGUGUAAGUAACUGUGCACAUCUUGACGGUACCUAAUCAGAAAGCCACGGCUAACUACGUGCCAGCAGCCGCGGUAAUACGUAGGUGGCAAGCGUUAUCCGGAAUUAUUGGGCGUAAAGCGCGCGUAGGCGGUUUUUUAAGUCUGAUGUGAAAGCCCACGGCUCAACCGUGGAGGGUCAUUGGAAACUGGAAAACUUGAGUGCAGAAGAGGAAAGUGGAAUUCCAUGUGUAGCGGUGAAAUGCGCAGAGAUAUGGAGGAACACCAGUGGCGAAGGCGACUUUCUGGUCUGUAA